rnacentral:rRNA from 1 species
GACGUAGGGCGCGAGCGUUGUCCGGAUUUAUUGGGCGUAAAGAGCUCGUAGGCGGCUUGUCGCGUCAACUGUGAAAACCCGUGGCUCAACCAUGUGGUCUGCAGUCGAUACGGGCAGGCUAGAAUUCGGUAGGGGAGACUGGAAUUCCUGGUGUAGCGGUGAAAUGCGCAGAUAUCAGGAAGAACACCCGUGGCUAAGGCGGCUCUCUAGUACGGUACUGACGCUGAGACGCGAAAGCGUGGGGAGCGAACAGG